AGAGUUUGAUCAUGGCUCAGAUUGAACGCUGGCGGCGUGCCUAACACAUGCAAGUCGAGCGGUAACAGGUGUAGCAAUACAUGCUGACGAGCGGCGAACGGGUGAGUAAUGCUUUGGAAUCUUCCCAGUAGUGGGGAAUAACCAGUCGAAAGAUUGGCUAAUACCGCAUACGUCUGUAAAGGGAAAGCGGGGGCUCGUAAGACCUCGCGCUAUUGGAUGAGCCAAAGUCGGAUUAGCUAGUUGGUGGGGUAAUGGCCUACCAAGGCGACAAUCCGUAGCUGGUCUGAGAGGACGACCAGCCACACCGGAACUGAGACACGGUCCGGACUCCUACGGGAGGCAGCAGUGGGGAAUAUUGGACAAUGGGGGAAACCCUGAUCCAGCGACGCCGCGUGUGUGAAGAAGGCCUGCGGGUUGUAAAGCACUUUUAGUGGGGACAAAAAGCUACGGACUAAUACUCUGUGGUCUUGAUUUAACCCAAAGAAAAAGCACCGGCUAACUCUGUGCCAGCAGCCGCGGUAAUACAGAGGGUGCGAGCGUUAAUCGGAAUUACUGGGCGUAAAGCGCGCGUAGACGGCUUUGUAAGUCAGAUGUGAAAUCCCUGGGCUCAACCUGGGAACUGCAUUUGAGACUGCAUGGCUAGAGUAUGGAAGAGGGAAGUGGAAUUUCCGGUGUAGCGGUGAAAUGCGUAGAUAUCGGAAGGAACACCAGUGGCGAAAGCGACUUCCUGGUCCAAUACUGACGUUCAUGUGCGAAAGCGUGGGGAGCAAACAGGAUUAGAUACCCCCGUAGUCC
rnacentral:rRNA from 1 species